UCUCCUGCAGCUCAGUGGUAGAGCGUCCGACCGGUGUGCGGAGGGUCACAGGCUCGACUCUUGUUGGGAGAA